ensembl:rRNA 5S_rRNA 5S ribosomal RNA
CAGAAUAGUUGUAUUGGGCUGAAUGCACCUGAUCUUGUCUGGUCUUUGAAAUCAAGCAGUCUUGGGCAGGGCAAGUACUUAGAUGAGAGACUAUCCUGGAAACCUGAGCGCUGA